GACGAACGCUGGCGGCGUGCCUAACACAUGCAAGUCGAACGGAAAGGCCUCUUUCGGGGGGUACUCGAGUGGCGAACGGGUGAGUAACACGUGAGUAACCUGCCCUUGACUUUGGGAUAACUUCAGGAAACUGGGGGUAAUACCGGAUAGGAGCUCCUGCUGCAUGGGGGGGGUUGGAGAGUUUCGGCGGUUGGGGAUGGACUCGCGGCGUAUCAGCUUGUUGGUGGGGUAGUGGCGUACCAAGGCUUUGAGGGGUAGCCGGCCUGAGAGGGUGACCGGCCACAUUGGGACUGAGAUACGGCCCAGACUCCUACGGGAGGCAGCAGUGGGGAAUAUUGCACAAUGGGUGGAAGCCUGAUGCAGCAACGCCGUGUGCGGGAUGACGGCCUUCGGGUUGUAAACCGCUUUCGCUCAUGACGAAGCUUUGUGUGACGGUAGUGGGUAAAGAAGCACCGGCUAACUACGUG
rnacentral:rRNA from 1 species